rnacentral:rRNA from 1 species
UACGUAGGGGGCGAGCGUUGUCCGGAUUUAUUGGGCGUAAAGAGCUCGUAGGCGGUUCGGUAAGUCGGAUGUGAAAUCUCCACGCUCAACGUGGAGGGGCCAUUCGAUACUGCCGUGACUCGAGUCCGGUAGGGGAGUGUGGAAUUCCCGGUGUAGCGGUGAAAUGCGCAGAGAUCGGGAGGAACACCCGUAGCGAAGGCGGCACUCUGGGCCGUGACUGACGCUGAGGAGCGAAAGCAUGGGGAGCGAACAGG